UUUAAGUUGGAAUUCCUGAAGAUGAAGAACAGAUUUAUAGUCUACUAUUCUCCAAAUUAAUUUUAAAAAGCAAUUUUGAAUUAUGGGGGUUUUGUUCUUGGUGUCUUAAUUGCAAUAAUGUUGACUACUUUAAAAUAGAGAAAAUUAAUCUAUUUCUGUUUUAAUUCCUAGGGUUGGGGAACAAAUUGUUAGUGAACUUGUCUCUAAAUUAAUUGUAUUUGUAUACAAAAUAGAGAUCUCUAUUCUUAAGCCUUAUUUCCAUAGAAACAAAAUUCCUUAUCUACAUAAAUGCUCAGUACAUUUUAGUGAACUAAAUGUAUUUGUCUUGUGCACAGACCUCUUAAUAAAACUUAUCUCGAGGUGGUACGUUCAGUAUUCAUGUCUUCAACAACUUCUGCUUCUGGGACGGGCAGAAAACGCACAAUCAAGGACUUGCAAGAAGAAGUUUCAAACCUGUACAAUAACAUUAGGUUAUUUGAAAAAGGGAUGAAGUUUUUCGCAGAUGACACACAGGCUGCUCUUACCAAACACUUGCUGAAGUCAGUGUGUACUGAUAUCACUAACCUCAUUUUCAACUUCUUAGCUUCGGAUUUAAUGAUGGCCGUAGAUGAUCCUGCAGCCAUUACAAGUGAAAUAAGAAAAAAAAUUUUAAGUAAAUUAUCAGAAGAAAGCAAAGUAGCUCUUACAAAACUCCAUAACUCUCUGAAUGAAAAGAGCAUAGAAGACUUUAUUUCUUGUCUGGAUUCUGCAGCAGAAGCUUGUGAUAUUAUGGUGAAAAGGGGAGACAAAAAAAGGGAAAGACAGAUACUGUUCCAGCAUCGACAAGCACUGGCUGAACAGCUGAAGGUCACAGAAGACCCUGCUCUUAUUCUGCACCUCACAUCAGUCCUGUUGUUUCAGUUUUCAACCCACAGCAUGCUCCAUGCGCCUGGAAGAUGUGUCCCACAGAUCAUUGCUUUUCUUAAUAGUAAAAUUCCAGAGGAUCAGCAUGCUCUUUUGGUAAAGUAUCAAAGUUUGGUUGUAAAGCAGCUAGUCAGUCAAAAUAAGAAGACUGGGCAGGGAGAUUAUCCCUUGAAUAAUGAAUUAGGCAAAGAACAAGAAGAUGUUGCCAAUACUCGUAAAGAGCUUCAAGAACUUUCUUCAUCCAUUAAAGACCUUGUUCUCAAAUCUAGGAAAUCAUCUGUGACAGAAGAGUAAUGAUCUUAAUUUACGUUUGUCAUAUAGUAAGCAUUUUCCCCCAAGAUUGGAGGUGAGUGGUCACAAAAAAGUAGUCACUAUACAACUCCCCUCUCUCCGCAAAAACCACCUCAUACACACACAAUUCAGUUAAAACAGUAGUGUUGUAUUAAAUGUAAAUCUUAAAAAGAUGUGAUUUUUGUAAAUUGGGUUCUUCAUGGAAGUUUUUUUCCACCUUAUUUUCACACAAAUAGUAUAUGAAAUUUUUCACAUAAACAUUAUUUUCACAUAAUUUUAAAAAUUACAUAUUUCAGGUUUGUUUUCUUUCCAAAUGUUGAAUGAAAAACAAAUUUUCUGAUCCAUUUAUCCCUGGGGAAGGAUUCAUUUGUGAGUGCCAGUAUACUUAAAUGUAUACUUUAAAUACAUUUAAGUAGAAAUUUAAAAUGUGGUCUUUUUUUAAAAAAAAAAAAAAGAAACACUUCUGUGUCAGAAAUGAAAAUAAAUCAUGUAUUUUGUUUUUAAAUAGAAAACACUACUUCAAAACUAAAAUACAGAAAUUUACAAAAACAAAAAAAUUAGUAGUAAGCCCUUGCUCUUAUUUUUGGCAGAAUAAACAUUGAUUUUGGUUGGGGCUGCAAGGAUGCCUUUACAGGUGCACAAGAACGCUAGAGUGGCCCAUGCAUUGUUGUGUUCUAAAACAAGCUACUAACAAGAGAGAGAACACAUGCAAUUUAUUACCAGUAAGCAUAAGUCAUAUUUAACAUUGGAAUAAGCAUUUUAUACAAAGAAUUUUCUUUGAUCCAGUUUGCAUUUGUACAUUUUAUUUUUUUAGUUCAGUAGCUGCUCUAUCACAUAAUACUUUGUAAAUACUAGUGUGAAAAACAGAUAGGAUGCCUUUUCCAGUGGUAGGAACAUCUGUACAUGCAUUUAAAUCAUUACAAGCUUUUUUCCAAAACUAGAAACCCUUAUUAAAAAAUAAGUAUUUUUGGUUUCUGAAGGUUAUUAGUUAAAAAUAACUAAAAAAGGUCCUUAGAGUAAUCAUUUCAACCGAAUGAAUUUCAAGCAACAACUUACUAUUUAUCAAAAAGGGAUUUAAUUAUUUUUAAUGUAAUUACAAAUUAAAUUUCAAAUAUUUAAAAAUACUAUUUUAUAUAAUUCCUUAUGACAUUUUAAACUUUAUAUUUUAAAAUAUUUGAAUAUGAAAAGAUCAGUCUACCUCUACUCCAUUCUAGACAAAGUAUUAAUGCUUAGUGAAAGUAAUUAAAUUGCUGACUUGGCAUUAUUAUUCAAGUUGAUAGAAAUGCAACAUUAAAUUUGAAAAUGUUUCCCAUGGGUAAUUUUCUAUUAUAUAUUUUCAUAUGGGCAAAGGGAAAAAUGAUAAAUCCUCUGUAAUCACAAACCCCAAUUUCGUUUUGUUUAUUCAGCUUCUAAAAUAUUGAACACCCAGACUUUUAAUUCAACCUUUAAGAACCUUAUCGUUUAUGUUUCAUUAGAUAUGAAAGUAAUCCAUGUUUGUGUCAAACGAUCAUAGAAAAUAAAUAGAAGAGACAGUGAAGCAAGUAAAAAGAAAAGCAUUGUUUUAAUUUGUUUGCAUUAAUUUUUUUCAUUUGUCAAAAUGCUGCUUUUGUUGCCACAGUAAAGAACGGUUUUUACUAUUUUGUAAGUAAAAUUACAUAGCUGAUUUUGUGUGUAAAGAUUAAUUUCCUUAAUAAAAAUUAUUAUAUGUUUACUGUGAUCUUAAUGGGCAGGGUUAAGAAAGUUAUUUAAAAUAAAGUUACCUAUUCUACUAAAUUUUAUAGUACUUUGAAGCUUCUAUUAACACAAAGAUUAAUUGGUGCAUAUAUUUUAUGUAUAUAUAUUUUGAAUUCUCAUUUUGAACAUUAUUAAAGGAUUUUAUUUUUCUCACACAAAAAUAGUUCCAUAGCUCUCAGUGUCUUUCAUUCCUUGAGAGUUUGCCAUUCUA
rnacentral:lncRNA from 1 species